UACGUAGGUCCCGAGCGUUGUCCGGAUUUAUUGGGCGUAAAGCGAGCGCAGGUGGUUUAUUAAGUCUGGUGUAAAAGGCAGUGGCUCAACCAUUGUAUGCAUUGGAAACUGGUAGACUUGAGUGCAGGAGAGGAGAGUGGAAUUCCAUGUGUAGCGGUGAAAUGCAUAGAUAUCACGCAGAACCCCGAUUGCGAAGGCAGCAUGCCGGCUUCCUACUGACGCUGAAGCACGAAAGCGUGGGGAUCGAACAGG
rnacentral:rRNA from 1 species